UACGAAGGGGGCUAGCGUUGCUCGGAAUCACUGGGCGUAAAGGGUGCGUAGGCGGGUCUUUAAGUCAGGGGUGAAAUCCUGGAGCUCAACUCCAGAAUUGCCUUUGAUACUGAAGAUCUUGAGUUCGGGAGAGGUGAGUGGAACUGCGAGUGUAGAGGUGAAAUUCGUAGAUAUUCGCAAGAACACCAGUGGCGAAGGCGGCUCACUGGCUCGGUACUGACGCUGAGACGCGAAAGCGUGGGGAGCAAACAGG
rnacentral:rRNA from 1 species